GAGCAAUGACGAUUUUCGAUUCACAAAACGGUUUAGCAUCAGGACACAAAGUGCUCGUCACUUUGUAACAGUUUCCAGUCGUCGUUUGGCAGAAACCGUUUUGAUGAUGUGACCGAGCGACUAAUCUUCUCUCUGAGCUCA
rnacentral:snoRNA from 14 species